UACGUAGGGGGCAAGCGUUGUCCGGAUUUAUUGGGCGUAAAGAGCGUGUAGGCGGCCUGAAAGGUCAGCUGUGAAAACUCGAGGCUCAACCUCGAGACGCCGGUGGAAACUGCAAAGCUAGAGUCCGGAAGAGGAGAGUGGAAUUCCUGGUGUAGCGGUGAAAUGCGCAGAUAUCAGGAGGAACACCCGUGGCGAAAGCGGCUCUCUGGGACGGUACUGACGCUGAGACGCGAAAGCGUGGGGAGCAAACAGG
rnacentral:rRNA from 1 species